rnacentral:rRNA from 1 species
UACGAACUGUGCGAACGUUAUUCGGAAUCACUGGGCUUAAAGGGUGCGUAGGCGGCUUCCUAAGUCAGGUGUGAAAUCUCCCGGCUCAACCGGGAAACGGCAUUUGAUACUGGGUUGCUCGAGUGAGGUAGGGGUGUGUGGAACUUCCGGUGGAGCGGUGAAAUGUGUAGAUAUCGGAAGGAACGCCAGCAGCGAAAGCGGCACACUGGGCCUUUUCUGACGCUGAGGCACGAAAGCCAGGGGAGCGAACGGG